UUGAUGUAUUGAUGAACUGAUUGAUGUAUUGAUUGAUUGGUUCUGCAGGAUGUCCUGUAGCGGGUUGCUGUGGUUUGUAAGGAGUCUGGUUCGGCAGGAUGUAUUGAUUGCUGUAUUGAUGUUUUGAUUGGUUGUGCAGGAUGUCCUGUGGCGGUUUUCUGUGGUUUGUGAGGAGUCUGGUUUGACAGGAUGUAUUGAUUGAAGUAUUAAUUGAUUGAUGUAUUGAUGUAUUGAUUGAUGUAUUGAUUGAUUGGUUGUGCAGGAUGUCCUGUAGCGGUUUUCUGUGGUUUGUGAGGAGUCUGGUGAGGAGGAAGCCGCUGGAGCCGGAUGGCGAGCAGUCGGAUUUCCGGCGCUGUUUGACGACGCUGGAUCUGGUGGCGCUGGGGGUGGGCAGUACUCUGGGGGCGGGGGUGUACGUGCUGUCGGGGGAGGUGGCUCGGACCGUGGCGGGUCCCAGCAUCAUCAUCUCCUUCUUCAUCGCCGCCGUGGCCUCGGUGUUCGCCGGGCUGUGUUACGCCGAGUUCGGCGCCCGCGUCCCCAAAACCGGCUCCGCCUACCUCUACAGCUACGUCACUGUGGGGGAGAUAUGGGCUUUUAUCACCGGCUGGAACCUCCUGCUCUCCUACAUCAUAGGAACCUCCAGUGUUGCCCGGGCCUGGAGCGGCACCUUUGACGACCUGAUCGGAAACGUUAUCGCUAAUUACCUAAGUCAGCACGCCGCCAUGAACCUCCCCGGCCUCGCCCCCUACCCAGACUUCUUCGCUGCUGCACUCAUCAUGCUGCUAGCAGGUAUCCUCGCGUUCGGAGUGAAAGAGUCUGCGAUAGUGAACAAGAUUUUCACGGCGGUGAACGUCGUCGUGCUGCUAUUCGUCAUUAUCUCUGGAUUCAUUAAAGGUGAUAUUGCGAACUGGCAGCUAACUGAGGAGGACAUCAUCAACGUCACUGUCUCAGUAAACUCGAGUAUAAACUCCACUGUUCCGGUGAAUUACGGAGUGGGAGGAUUCUUCCCGUUCGGGUUUGAGGGAACGUUAGCGGGAGCUGCUACCUGCUUCUACGCCUUCGUGGGAUUUGACUGUAUCGCCACUACAGGUGAGGAGGUCCAGAACCCCCAGAGGUCCAUCCCGAUAGGUAUCGUAGCUUCUCUGCUCAUCUGCUUCGUGGCGUAUUUCGGCGUGUCCGCCGCUCUCACGCUGAUGAUGCCAUAUUACCAGCUGAGCGUUCAGAGCCCGCUGCCCGUAGCCUUCACCCACGUGGGCUGGGAUCCGGCCAAGUACGUGGUAGCUGUGGGAUCACUGUGUGCCCUUUCCACCAGUCUGCUGGGGUCGAUGUUCCCGAUGCCCCGGGUCCUGUUCGCCAUGGCCAGAGACGGACUGCUCUUCAAACCUCUGAGUAACAUCAGCUCCCGCCAGAGUCCCGUCAUCGCCACCCUCACCUCAGGAGUCGUGGCAGCUAUCAUGGCUCUGGUGUUUGAUCUGAAGGCUCUGGUGGACAUGAUGUCCAUUGGGACGCUGUUUGCCUACACCCUGGUGGCCAUCUGUAUCCUCAUCCUCAGAUACCAAGCAGAUCCAAAUGAGAUGAACUACAAGCAGAAGUGGAAUCUUCUACGACCUCCGUCUUCACCAACCUCGACAAGCUCAAGCGUCGUGUCCUACCUGACCAUCUUCACCAUUGCUCUUGCAGUGGUUCUGAGUGUGAUCCUGACUAAGGGAAUACAGUCGGUGGGCGAGUGGUGGAUGAUCCUGAUCAUCACCGUAGCUCUGCUGUGUCUACUCAUCACCGUUAUCAUCAUCUGGAGGCAACCACAGAGCGGCGUCAAAGCUGCCUUCAUGGUUCCUCUGCUGCCGGUGCUUCCUGUGGUUAGCACUUUUGUGAACGUUUAUCUGAUGGUUCAGCUGGGAGCAGACACAUGGAUCCGCUACGCCGUCUGGAUGGCAAUAGGUCUGCUAAUCUAUUUCGGAUAUGGAGUUUGGCACAGUGUCCAGAAGAAGCGUGAAGAAGCUCCUCCCCGUAUCCCGGUUAAAACCAUCGACAGCACGCUGGAGAAGACUGAUAGAAACGGCUCUGUAACGACUCCGCCUCAAACCAAGCUCUAAACUGAGUUAUUACCCUCAUGAGUACACAACAUUGUAUCUACGACUAUAUUAUAUAUUAUAUACCAUAUAUUAUAUACUGUCUGUGUAAUGAAAAGUUAAUAUUUCAGUUAUAGUUAACGUGUUCAAGUGGGCCUAAUGUGAUUACACAUUUAUCAUCACAUAUAUUUAUGGGUUUGUAAAGUUUGGGCCAAAUUUAAGAGGGUUUGUAAAGUUCUGGGUCACAGUAAAGCAGAGGGAUUAUAAAGUUACUGAGGAUUGUAAAGUUCUGAGCAAUAGUAUAAAGGGUUUAUAGAGUUUUGGGCCAUAGUAAGAAGGGUUUUUUAAAGUUUUGAGCCAUAGUAAGAAGGGUUUUUAAAGAUUUGAGCCAUAGUAAGAAGGGUUUUUAAAGAUUUGGGCCAUAGUAAGAAGGGUUUUUAAAGUUUUGGGCCAUAGUAAGAAGGGUUUAUAAAGUUUUGGGCCAAAGUAAGAAGGGUUUUUAAAGUUUUGGGACAUAGUAAGAAGGGUUUUUAAAGAUUUGAGCCAUAGUAAGAAGGGUUUUUUAAAGUUUUGAGCCAUAGUAAGAAGGGUUUUUAAAGUUUUGGGCCAUAGUAAGAAGGGUUUUUAAAGUUUUGAGCCAUAGUAAGAAGGGUUUUUAAAGUUUUGAGCCAUAGUAAGAAGGGUUUUUAAAGUUUUGGGCCAUAGUAAGAAGGGUUUUUAAAGAUUGGGGCCAUAGUAAGAAGGGUUUUUAAAGAUUUGAGCCAUAGUAAGAAGGGUUUUUUAAAGUUUUGAGCCAUAGUAAGAAGGGUUUUUAAAGUUUUGGGCCAUAGUAAGAAGGGUUUUUAAAGUUUUGAGCCAUAGUAAGAAGGGUUUUUAAAGUUUUGGGCCAUAGAAAGAAGGGUUUUUAAAGAUUUGGGCCAUAGUAAGAAGGGUUUUUAAAGAUUUGAGCCAUAGUAAGAAGGGGUUUUUUUAAGUUUUGAGCCAUAGUAAGAAGGGUUUUUAAAGAUUUGAGCCAUAGUAAGAAGGGUUUUUAAAGUUUUGGGCCAUAGUAAGAAGGGUUUUUAAAGUUUUGGGCCAUAGAAAGAAGGGUUUUUAAAGUUUUGAGCCAUAGUAAGAAUGGUUUUUAAAGUUUUGGGCCAUAGUAAGAAGGGUUUCUAAAGUUUUGAGCCAUAGUAAGGAGGGUUUUUUUAAGUUUUGGGCCAUAGUAAAAAGGGUUUUUUAUAAUUGUGGGCCAGAGUAAGACAGGUUUUUUGAGCUUUGGCUAUAAAAUCGCUGUACCUGCAGGUUUCCGUGGCUCUACUCGAGCACGUGUGUUGUCAGUGUUUUGGUUACGUAACUCCUCUUCUAUAAGUUGGUUCCGGGGGAGUGAAGUUUAAAGUGUAAAUAUUGUGAACUGUAAUUACAUGGAAACUGGAGACUGAGAGGCAAACUUUACAUAAGCACUUGUUGACAGUAAACACUUAUUAAAACACAGUGCUGUUAUAAAGUGUAUAAUGUUUAAUAUGUGUAACUGUGAUAAUAAUUUAUAAUAAGAUGUUGUAAAUAUUUAUCUUCAAAUAAAAUGUUUUAUUCA